rnacentral:rRNA from 1 species
GUGGGGAAUCUUCCGCAAUGGACGAAAGUCUGACGGAGCAACGCCGCGUGAGUGAAGAAGGUUUUCGGAUCGUAAAGCUCUUUCGUUAGGGACGAACGUGCUCUUUGUGAAUAAUGAGGAGUAAUGACGGUACCUAAAUAAGAAGCCACGGCUAACUACGUGCCAGCAGCCGCGGUAAUACGUAGGUGGCAAGCGUUGUCCGGAAUUAUUGGGCGUAAAGCGCGCGCAGGCGGGAUAUCAAGUCUGUCUUAAAAGUGCGAGGCUCAACCUCGUGAGGGGACAGAAACUGGUAUUCUUGAGUGUCGGAGAGGAAAGUGGAAUUCCUAGUGUAGCGGUGAAAUGCGUAGAUAUUAGGAAGAACACCAGUGGCGAAGGCGACUUUCUGGACGAAAACUGACGCUGAGGCGCGAAAGCCAGGGGAGCGAACGGGAUUAGAUACCCUUGUAGUCC